GGUUGUGGCUCAGUGGUAGAGCGCUCGCCUAGCACGUAUGAGGUACUGGGUUUGAGCCUCAGCACCA
rnacentral:tRNA from 1 species